GACGAACGCUGGCGGCGUGCUUAACACAUGCAAGUCGAACGGAAAGGCCCUGCUUUUGUGGGGUGCUCGAGUGGCGAACGGGUGAGUAACACGUGAGUAACCUGCCCUUGACUUUGGGAUAACUUCAGGAAACUGGAGCUAAUACCGGAUAGGAGCUCCUGCUGCAUGGUGGGGGUUGGAAAGGUUCGGCGGUUGGGGAUGGACUCGCGGCUUAUCAGCUUGUUGGUGGGGUAGUGGCUUACCAAGGCUUUGACGGGUAGCCGGCCUGAGAGGGUGACCGGCCACAUUGGGACUGAGAUACGGCCCAGACUCCUACGGGAGGCAGCAGUGGGGAAUAUUGCAAAAUGGGCGGAAGCCUGAUGCAGCAACGCCGCGUGCGGGAUGACGGCCUUCGGGUUGUAAACCGCUUUCGCCUGUGACGAAGCGUGAGUGACGGUAAUGGGUAAAGAAGCACCGGCUAACUACGUG
rnacentral:rRNA from 1 species